CUCAUUUGUUUGUUAUGCUAAUAUUGAAAUGUGUGGAGAGACCGUAAAGCUAAGUGCCACUUGCCUAUGUGUUAAUAUCAUGAUGUAAGACAUAGUGUACCUCUCUGACUGACCCUUCCCACAGAAAGGGCUGCCAGUAACAGGAGCAGGUGAGUACAGUUCACAGGGUACUGUCUUCCUUUGUUUGAAAACAACAGAUGAUUAUAAAAACCAAUGUUUGGGUGGCUUCCAGGUGAUGUCUGUUUUAUACAGGUUUGUCAGCAAGUGGAAAUGCAACCAUUAAAUCACUGCAAGAUGGGAAAGAAAUUGCUUACAAUUUAGUGCAGCCAGGUAGUGACAGGUGUUGUUAUGAAGAAGCAGGUCCCCGUCUGUCGUGGUCUACACUGCCGUCUCAUGGGGCUUCUAUUUCCCUUUUGGUUUGGUUGCAAGUGAAAGAGUUCAGUGGUUUCAUCAUUGAUUUGUCAUCUUUCUUUCUUAAUGUUUGACCACAUCUUCCUCCUUAAGUACUCUAUCUCAUGCUCAGGUUCUUUGCUCCCCCAAGUUCUGUCUGACUUUGAUUCUUCUGGAGUUGUGCGUGUCCCCUUGUCGUUUCUUUUAUUUGCUUUCUGUCUUAUUUUUAAAUCUCCAUUUUUAAGUAAUGUUGAAAAACAAAGCAACCUGGUAGUGCCUAGAAAGCUCAGGUUUUUUUCAUGUAUUUGGUCAUAGGAGUUGGAUAUAAUGUGUUUGCUCAUAGUAUUUGUUCAACAUUGUUAUUGGCUUACUCUACAGGUUGGCCCAGAAAAAUUACGUUAGUGGUGUGGGCGUUUUAAUUUAAAUGCAUGGCCACCAUUGAAUAAUGGAAGUUUUGCUGAGAGCAAUGGCACAGGCCUGCCAUCCCGGGUAUUUGGGAGGCUGAGACAGAACAAUCACUUGAGCCCAGGAUUUAACCAGGCUUGGUUGUGUGUACCAGUGACCCCAAAAUUCAGGAGGCUCAGGCAGUAAAUAUCAAAGUGUACUUAGAUUACAUAGGCAACUAGAGGUUAGUCUUAGCUACAGUAAUGAGACCAGCUCACAAACAAGUAAAAGAAAAAUGAGUUGGAGGCCAUCUUGUAGUGUUAUGAUCUGUGGGAGGAAAAGAAAGUUGGGAAGAUUUUCAUACUAACAUCUAAAUGACUUUUCUUGAAAAGCUGGAGAUCCUAGCAGUACUGGGCCCAGGUUGGUGAAAAUACUAAGUAGAGAAUAUGUCUUUUAUGCUUGUGGUUUGCAUGUGCAUAUGUGUAUAUUCCCCUCUAUGGAGGUCCAUGUGUAAAGAUGUGUGUGUGUGAGUGCCUAUGCCCUUCGUGCAUCUGUGUGUUAGGGCCUGAAGCAGUUGCCCACGUUCUUCUGGACCACUCCUCACUUUACAUAUUGAGACAUGCAGGGUCUCUUACUACAUGCAGGGUCCCUGUUGGAGGUCGGUCUCCCUAACCAGCCUGCUCCUGCCUCUGGCCCCACAGUGCUGUGAGUGUAAGUAAUCACUAUAUGCACUUGCCUUUUUACGCACCAGUGAGCCAAACCCUUGUCCUUAACACUUGCAUGGGCCAUCUUAUGUAUUUUGAGGAAGGGAGACUUGCAGUGGAGCACAUGUGAAAGUCAGAGGACAGCUUGUGGGAGUCGGCUCUCUCCUUACACCAGGUAAUUUCAGGGGUCAGACUCAGGUCAACUGGAUUAGAGCAAGUAUCUCUUCUGGCUGAGCCAUCUCACCAGACCCUUGUGUUUAUUGUUUUUGAGACAGGCCUCAUGCAGUCCAAGCUGAACUUGAACUUUCUGUACAGUUGAGGAUGACCUGAACUUCUGAUCCUCUUGCUUUUACUUCUCAAGUUCUGAUAGUCUAAGCAGAUGCUAUUAUAUCCGGUUGUGCUGGGUAUUGAAUCUAGGACCUCAUAACAUGCUGGGGAACACUUAUUUACAGAAUGAACCCCAAGAGGAAAUGUAAAUAUUGCUAUUUUGGUGACUUUUAUCUGUGCCUAAGAAUAAGAAGUCAAAGAGAGAUUCUGAUUGUCCUAAGGAUGCUUUGUGACUGAAGAAGGAGCAGAUGCGGAACAUGAUUCAACAGUAGACUCAGAGUUUCCAGGCUUUGUGCUUUGGUCUGAUGAGCACAAUCCCUCUGAGGACAGUUUCUUCCUCUAGGCAAGUUUCCAUACAGAGAUAGAUACUUAAGCUUCUUAGUGGUGGCUUUUUAUGUCUUGAGUACAAAGAUAACUGAAGUUCAGUCAGAAGUAUCAAGUGUGGUUCUCUUUGUAAGAAUUCUUGUCAGCAUUACAAAUAAUCAAAAUAAUUAAGGAUUUCCUUUGAAACGUUUUCUUUCUUACUGCUUUUAGAAAAACCGUAUUUUCAAAAUAUAAAUUCUGAUUCACUCUUCUUACCAACCUUAUUCUUCAUUGUGGCAGGACUCAGUCCCCGCCCUGUCUUUGGCAGGCCUCCUAUCUCACCCUAGGAGCUGGUGUUACAGGUGUGCACUGCAUAAUCAUGACAAACCGUUUAAGAGGUAGAAUCUGCUGGAGAAUACCCCUUAGCAUAUAGGUGCUAAGUAGAAAGUGGGACAUACUGGAAUUAUCAUCUGAAUAACUGUGUUCAGUUUCUUGGUAUUUUUUGGUUUUGGUUUGGUUUGGUUUUUUCGCGUUUAGAGAUUAAACCCAGGGUCUUGUGCGUGCUGGGCAAGACCUCUACUGCUGAGCUACACUCCUGCUUUCUUCUUUUUAAUAUUUUCUUCUUCUGUAAUACAAAUUGAGCACAGGCUUUUGAAUAUUAUUAGCCUACUAGACAAAUGAUACAGCCUUGAGUUAUAUCCCCAGUUCCUUCUUUUUAAUAAAAUAGGUACCUGUUCUAGCAGCCAGCAAGUACCUUGAGGAGCUUAAUGGGGCAGGGAGGUGUUUUAUUCCUAUACAACAUGGUCCAUUUUCCACACACAUUGACAGGUUUAUCGGUAUGAUAUAAUCAGGAAACCAAAAAUAGGGGUUUGAUAUGUGAUACAGUAUAUUUAUUUUUUGUUUUUUGGUCUUGUUUUAAAAUUUGCAUUUUAAAAGUACUAAGUUUAGCUAUGCCUGCUAAAAGAAAUGAAUAGCUAUGAAGCAAACUAGUGGCCCUUACAGAAUAUCUUCCACUAAAGUGAAUUGUGUUUCCGUAUGUGUAGCAAUAUAAUGACAUUUGAUGUAUCUUUAACGUAUAGGUUACUAAGUUUUGAAAAUAGAAGGAUACACAAUUUGUGGUGAUUGGGUGAACUGGUGUUUCUUUAAGUCACUUAAUGCAAAAAAUGAAUGAAUGAAUGAAUGAAUGAAUGAAUGAAUGAAUGAGUAAAUGAACAAGUAAAUAAGUAGAGUCCCAA
rnacentral:sRNA from 1 species